AGCAUAUCAAUAAGCGGAGGAAAAGAAACCAACAGGGAUUGCCUUAGUAACGGCGAGUGAAGCGGCAAUAGCUCAAAUUUGAAAGCUGGCCCCUUCGGGGUCCGCGUUGUAAUUUGUAGAGGAUGAUUCGGCGAGGGCUCCCGUCUAAGUCCCUUGGAACAGGGCGUCAUAGAGGGUGAGAAUCCCGUAUGUGAUGGGCUGCCUUAGCCAUGUGAAUCUCCUUCGACGAGUCGAGUUGUUUGGGAAUGCAGCUCUAAAUGGGAGGUAAAUUUCUUCUAAAGCUAAAUACCGGCCAGAGACCGAUAGCGCACAAGUAGAGUGAUCGAAAGAUGAAAAGCACUUUGGAAAGAGAGUUAAAAAGUACGUGAAAUUGUUGAAAGGGAAGCGCUUGCAGCCAGACUUGUCCGCAGUUGCUCAGCUUGUCUCCUGACAGGCGUACUCUUCUGCGGCCAGGCCAGCAUCAGUUCGGGCGGUCGGAUAAAGACCUGGGGAAUGUAGCUCCUCUCGGGGAGUGUUAUAGCCCUGGGUGCAAUGCGGCCAGCCUGGACUGAGGAUCUCGCUUCGGCUAGGAUGCUGGCGUAAUGGCUGUAAGCGGCCCGUCUUGAAACACGGACCAAGGAGUCUAACAUCUAUGCGAGUGUUUGGGUGUCAAACCCAUGCGCGUAAUGAAAGUGAACGGAGGUGGGAACCCUCACGGGUGCACCAUCGACCGAUCCUGAUGUCUUCGGAUGGAUUUGAGUAAGAGCAUAGCUGUUGGGACCCGAAAGAUGGUGAACUAUGCCUGAAUAGGGUGAAGCCAGAGGAAACUCUGGUGGAGGCUCGCAGCGGUUCUGACGUGCAAAUCGAUCGUCAAAUUUGGGUAUAGGGGCGAAAGACUAAUCGAACCAUCUAGUAGCU
rnacentral:rRNA from 1 species